ACGGGUGAGUAAUGUCUGGGAAACUGCCCGAUGGAGGGGGAUAACUACUGGAAACGGUAGCUAAUACCGCAUAACGUCUUCGGACCAAAGUGGGGGACCUUCGGGCCUCACACCAUCGGAUGUGCCCAGAUGGGAUUAGCUGGUAGGUGAGGUAACGGCUCACCUAGGCGACGAUCCCUAGCUGGUCUGAGAGGAUGACCAGCCACACUGGAACUGAGACACGGUCCAGACUCCUACGGGAGGCAGCAGUGGGGAAUAUUGCACAAUGGGCGCAAGCCUGAUGCAGCCAUGCCGCGUGUAUGAAGAAGGCCUUCGGGUUGUAAAGUACUUUCAGCGGGGAGGAAGGCGAUGCGGUUAAUAACCGCGUCGAUUGACGUUACCCGCAGAAGAAGCACCGGCUAACUCCGUGCCAGCAGCCGCGGUAAUACGGAGGGUGCAAGCGUUAAUCGGAAUUACUGGGCGUAAAGCGCACGCAGGCGGUCUGUCAAGUCGGAUGUGAAAUCCCCGGGCUUAACCUGGGAACUGCAUCCGAAACUGGCAGGCUUGAGUCUCGUAGAGGGGGGUAGAAUUCCAGGUGUAGC
rnacentral:rRNA from 1 species